rnacentral:lncRNA from 1 species
AAAUCAGUUAUGGAAAAAUUCUAUUAGUAAUAAGAAAAAAAUUCUAAAGAGCAAUGAUAGUGAUAAUAAACUACUGAGAUGUUGAUUUUCUUUUUCGUUCUUCAACCAUCCAUCUAGUUUCCUCCUUUGCCAUCUGUCAGUUUCGCCGACUUGAACGAUGCUAGCAUCCAGCCAUUCAAUUUCUCUUUUCUUCUCCCACCUUUGAGAUCGUCUUCUUCUACCCUUGAGGGUGUGGAUCUCUCGGAGAAAACCCUAGUCGCACCUUCUUCCCUCUCAUCUCCCCUGUCUCUACUUGGGUCACUGCUUAUAGCUGCAUGAUCUUCCCCAAUGUGAUUACUCUAAGCUUGAAUUUGUGAGCGGAUCCCUCUACAGGAAUUUUUUAAAUAAUUAUAUCCCUACCAUCAUCACCAUCCAACCAAAGAAACCCUAAUCCAAGAUUCAAAACUCCCAAAUCACAAGCAAGCAAUUAGGGAUUUGAGGGAAGCAUUGCAAAGAGAGGAGGAAGGGAGGGUUUGGGGUCGGAGGAGGAGGCGGGGAAUCUUGACUGAGAUUCGGAGAGGGAUCAGAGAUCUGACCUAUAGAAAUCAACCGAUUUGAGCCUGCUGGAGGCGAUCAUGGUUUUCGGAGAGAGGAGGGAGACGAUCAACUUGGAGGUCCGGUGGAAGGAACGGACGUCGCUGGAGCAGAUUUGCUGUCUUCCGUCCCGGACGAGCGAGUGAAUCGACGGCCGGAGGUCGGCAAUCGGUGCGGCGCUACAGAUCCAGAGGACAGAUCCAAAUCGAUGAUCGAACCCGGCCAGAAUUAUCUGCCGGAUUGUUUCAUCUUAUCGCCGGAAAGCUGGUGGUCCUUCUCCCUAACCCUAAUCGGUCAACACCCUUUUGAGAAUUUUGGAUGGUUAGGAGUGUAGACUCGAUUCAAAGUACUCACGCGAUCCAAUCCAUGAUCUUAGGCAAAGUAUUCCACUUCUUAUUUUAUAGGUUCGGUUGGGUAGGGGGUCUCCUUGUCCCAUUAUUUUUAUCUUUUUUGAAUGAGGACCCCUCGACUUUGAUGGGGAUGAAUUCUGCGGAAAGAUCGAUUUCUUCGCUCCGCCUAUGGGUAGAAGAUCGGUAAGUAUGAGGCGUAAGCGAUAAAAGAGAGACAGAGUGGGAUAAGAAAGAAGAUAUUCGUGUAUAGAGUCGGCUAUAGCGCAUUGAUGAACUGACUCCUUGCUUCGCGAAAGCCAACUGCCCUGGUGGAGUGAGAGAUUAAUCUGGACAAGAGAUUGAAUAAGCAGAUUCUAAGUCCGACUUCCCAUUUUCCAUAAGAGGAGGAGACAUAGAAAGGAGUAGGAGAAUGACUGCCCAGCUCACUCAGAACCUGAAGAUCACAUUCUUUUUCUCUUGUCGCUCUAGUAAGAGUAGCUUUAGGGUUUGCGGAAGUGAACUCCUGCCUCAAAUAAAAGAUAUCAUCAUGUUCCCAAGGGAAAGGUUACCACCUUUACCAGAAAAUUGGGACAAGAAUCUCCACUUAGAGUAGAGCCAAACCCUCUAUGAGCCCUCCUUCUUUCUUUCAUGGAAGUAGGCUUAUUCCGCCUUCAACUUCAUGAUUGUAUUCCAGGCGGAACACAACAUCCUUAUGCAUCCAUUUCACAGGUGGACCAGUACUCACUUGAGGAAGACUUUCAACGACUUGGUUUGGUUCCUCAUCUUGGAUCAGGACCGAACACUAGCAACCUAUUCAGGGAAAGAAUCGGUUAUGUAAGAAAUUGGUUGGGGGCUGAGAUAGGUUGAUACUCUGAACAAUAAACAAAACACAUAUUCAAUACCAACCUUUUGUUAUGCUUGAAAAUGGAAUGAGCAUGACCAAAAAAAGAAGAAAUGACUCUUUACGACCCUUUCUAUUGACCUUGACUAGGGCUGAUAUAGGAAAAAGGGGUAAAGUGCAUAAAGAAGAGAUUAUAAGACUUUUAUUUGAUAGAAAUUCAAUAUUCAAGAAAUUCUCUAUUCCUAAUUACUGCGGUACGUAAAAUACAAAUAUCGGAAACCUUGUGCUUAUGCCCGUUUGAAUUUCAAAUAGCAGUGGGGCACUGUGUACUUACAGCCUCUACGAGUUGCAAGUGAAUGGGGCCGGUGCGUGGCGAACGGAACGGUUCAUCAAGCCAUUUCUCGCCUCAACCCCCUAAAUAGGAAGAGGGGUAUANNNNNNNNNNNNNNNNNNNNAUUAUUAUUAUUAUUAUUUUUGUUUUAAAAAUUAUAAAUUUUAUAUGAAGGCAGGUAAGGAAUUGGUUGGGAAUUGGCUUUGGAUUUGAGGUGGGUCAUGAUCGUUGAUUUGCUUGAAAUUGUUCUCGAGCCCAAUGUUAUUUAAAUUUAAUUCUUGCUGAGCUGCUUCAGAUCGAACUCGAUCAGACAAGACUAAAAAUUGGACCGUGACCUAAUAAAAAGGGUUAAUCAAACUUUUGCCCCAUACAUAAUUAAUUAUAACUUUCGAUCGAAUCAGGACCAAAACCUAUUUAAUCAUAGCCUUAGCUUGAUUACAACUCCAUCAGGUUACUAAACCGGGUCAACACAAUCUCCUCCUUAUAUGUUUUCAUGAAAGAUUACAACCAGGAGAGAGACAAGUUCAAAGUCUGUUUUGAGAAAAGAAUUAUUUACCUCUUACCAUAUUUUAAAUUUAUUUCAAUGUUUAUUC